UACAGAGGGGGCAAGCGUUAUUCGGAAUUAUUGGGCGUAAAGGGCGCGUAGGCGGCUUUGCAAGUGACGGGUGAAAUCCCUCGGCUUAACCGAGGAACUGCCUGUCAGACUGCAUGGCUUGAGACCGGGAGAGGUGAGUGGAAUUCCCAGUGUAGCGGUGAAAUGCGUAGAUAUCAGGAGGAACACCGAUGGCGAAGGCAGGUCUCUGGGGCCAACUACUGACGCUGGAGAAGCGGAAAGCAUGGGGAGCGAACAGG
rnacentral:rRNA from 1 species